rnacentral:rRNA from 1 species
AUUGAACGCUGGCGGCAGGCCUAACACAUGCAAGUCGAGCGGUAGAGAGGUGCUUGCAUCUCUUGAGAGCGGCGGACGGGUGAGUAAUGCCUAGGAAUCUGCCUAGUGGUGGGGGAUAACGUUCGGAAACGGACGCUAAUACCGCAUACGUCCUACGGGAGAAAGCGGGGGGAUCUUCGGACCUCGCGCCAUUAGAUGAGCCUAGGUCGGAUUAGCUAGUUGGUGAGGUAAUGGCUCACCAAGGCGACGAUCCGUAACUGGUCUUAGAGGAUGAUCAGUCACACUGGAACUGAGACACGGUCCAGACUCCUACGGGAGGCAGCAGUGGGGAAUAUUGGACAAU